rnacentral:lncRNA from 1 species
AAACAUUUCUAUAAAGUAACCAGCGCAGUGUUCCAACACCAGAAGCAUAUGGAAGAAACAUAUAGACAAAGCUUUUAGCGGUAAAGAGAGGUGCAGCAGACCUUUGUUUAAUCGAAGCACGCUUCAUUGGGAAUUUUAACCAAUCAUGAACCAGCGGAGUAAGCUCAAUACAUAGCCAUGUAUAUGUUUCUCUGAAUAGUGAUCGAGUUUGUUUAUUAUUCUGCUAUGCGGCAUCACGUCAAGGACAGUGCAAUCAAAACUACCUCACAACUCAGAAUAAACGGCAAUUUCCCACCAAUGAAGAACUGACAUUCGAGCCAGAAUCAAGACACUUUCAUUGAAAUUUAGACAUCAACGAGGUAGAUAUGAAUAAAUUGCACUCGCUUCCAAUAAAAGAGAACUGGCUGCAAGAUACUAUCAAGAAACUAUAUAAACGUGUCGCUUAAUCAUCCUUUUGCGAACUUCAAUAAAGUUGAGGAUAAAAAAAAUACACAAUGACGUUGGUUAUUGUUUCA